CAUCCAACAAUAUUUUUGAUGCCUAUGGUGCUAAAUGUUGGGAAUGCAAACCUGGAUAAAUGUCUAUUUCAAAUCAAUAGGAAUACUCGAACAUUCUCCCUGCUACAAUGUAAACAUCAUGAGGAAAGAGAUGUGUUGGACUUGUUCCUUGCUAUAUUUCCUGGCUCAGAACCUGGCACUGAGUAGACGUCAAGAAAUAGUUAAAUGAAUGAAUGAAUGAAUGAAUGAAUGAAUGAACUUGUGGCCUCUUAUAGAGCUGAAGGUGUCUUACCACUACUCUAAGAGCUGACAUCAGGUGGGCUUGCUGCAAAGCCAGGCACUGUACUCCACGUUGUAUUUUCAUUGUCUCUUUUAAUGAGACUUCUUUACAAUGUUUAUCUUUUAAACAACCUGAUAAGCAGCCAGUAGUCAUGGUCAGCUGUUACACUGGUAGCUGCAAACAGAGUCCAGGACACAGAACUUCCUACGGUAUCACAGCUUCAUUUUACAGGCUGCAGCUCCCACUGCCUACAUCAGAACCAUCCAUAAGCUGUGUGUUUCUUUGGGAGUUGGGGGAGUGUCUUUUGGAUGUUUAUAACUUAUGCAUCUUGAUAUUGAAUGUGCACUUAAUACAUGGAGCUUCAUAGUACUUGAUUUUGUAUACAAAAAAAAAAUGACUUAAUUAAAAUUUCUCGAAGGAA